UUCCUGUGCCUCAGUUGGUAGAGCAUUGAGCUAGCAACGCAAAGGUUUUGGGUUCAAAAAGAAAGCAAGAAC